rnacentral:lncRNA from 1 species
UCCCAUUUCUAAUAAAAAUUACUUUCCAAACUUGUAGAGGUAAAUUCAAAUUCAAAAAGCCAAUCAUUUAGGAAAGUUGUUUAUGAGAAGAGGCCUCUAUAGUUGCAAUCCAAACUUGGUCCACAACAUGCAACUGGUGAGAAGAAUGCAAGUUAGUCAAACAAACUCAAUGUCUUCACUAGAAGAGAGCCAAGUCGAUGACCCCCUUG